rnacentral:rRNA from 1 species
CACGUAGGGAGCAAGCGUUGUCCGGAUUUAUUGGGCGUAAAGAGCUCGUAGGCGGUUUGUCGCGUCUGCCGUGAAAGUCCGGGGCUCAACUCCGGAUCUGCGGUGGGUACGGGCAGACUAGAGUGAUGUAGGGGAGACUGGAAUUCCUGGUGUAGCGGUGAAAUGCGCAGAUAUCAGGAGGAACACCGAUGGCGAAGGCAGGUCUCUGGGCAUUAACUGACGCUGAGGAGCGAAAGCAUGGGGAGCGAACAGG